AAUAAUAGCUCCUUAUUCAACUGACAGGCCCAAGUCAAUUGAGAUGACAUCAUACCAUCAUUAUUGCUGGCACGCCAUGAGAUGUUGAAUGGUUUCCUUGACUCUUGACCGGCCUUCAGCAUCUGAUAAUGCUUGACGCUAAAAUGUUACUGGAGUUACAGCAAACCUGUCACCAUUUGAGGCGCUUCUGAGGAACCUCAAAUAAAGCUCAGAUGUUCUAAUGUCCCUCUGAAAGGAGCUCUUCAACCAGUCCUCGAUGUUGCACACCUUCAGCACCCUGCUGGAGUACCAGCAGAUGGACAGGUGACGCAAAAAGCCUCCUAGCACAAAGUUGGCGCACCUCAGCUGAGAGAGCGAGUCAAAGUGGAGCACGUUCCACAGGAGGGGGUCCAGAAAGACAUCCCGCAGGUGGGCGCAGAGCCGUGAUGCACUACAAUGGCCGCCAGGUCAUACAGACAGCUCUCCGCUAACACAUUCUGUGGCUAAAAAGAUGAAAGUGAGGACAACUUUCAAAGUGGCCAAGAUGGUUUCAAACAGAAGUGGGCAGAUCGCAGUGACCUGAUGGUACAAAGAAAUGAUACCGGGCCGGAAUCAACAAGUCUGAAGGACUCUGACAAGGCCCUUGCACAUCUGUCCUAAGGCUGCGUUCACACUUUGCUCCCUCUGGAUGUAAGUUGAUUCCAUUUGGGACUCCUUCAUAGCGACCUGCUUAGUAUGUACUUUUGUGGUCUUAGCGCUCGCAUUCCGGAGGGACAUUUUCUGUAAUGCUCCAUGAUGGCAGUUUAAGAUUGUGUCCAAACUCACCUCGAGUAAAUAGCCCUUCAUGUCCAA